rnacentral:rRNA from 1 species
GACGAACGCUGGCGGCGUGCUUAACACAUGCAAGUCGAACGGUGAAGCUCCAGCUUGCUGGAGUGGAUCAGUGGCGAACGGGUGAGUAACACGUGAGCAACCUGCCCCUGACUCUGGAAUAAGCGCUGGAAACGGCGUCUAAUACUGGAUACGAGAAGGGUCCGCAUGGGCACUUUCUGGAAAGUUUUUCGGUUGGGGAUGGGCUCGCGGCCUAUCAGCUUGUUGGUGAGGUAAUGGCUCACCAAGGCGACGACGGGUAGCCGGCCUGAGAGGGCGACCGGCCACACGGGGACUGAGACACGGCCCAGACUCCUACGGGGGGCAGCGGGGGGGAAUUUUGCACAAGGGGCGAAAGCCGGAUGCAGCGACGCCGCGUGGGGGAUGACGGCCUUCGGGUUGUAAACCUUUUUCAGCAGGGAAGAAGCGAAAGUGACGGUACCGGCAGAAGAAGCCCCGGCUAACUACGU